CUGUCACUGGUCUUGGACUAACGUUAUCCCACAUGAGUGAGGAUAAAGGUUAGGAGUUUAGGGGCGUGUGGGUGGUCUUACUCUUGGUUUCAGCUCAGGUCGUGAUCUCACAGUUCGUGAGUUCAAGCACUGCAGCAGGCUCUGUGCUAACAGUGCAGAGCCUGCUUGGGAUUCUCUCUCUCCUCUCUCAGCCCUCCACCUCUCAAACUAAUAAACGUUAAUUUAAAAAAGAAAAGGUUAGGAUGUAUUCACUGAAUAAUGGGAAGAAAGAGGAAAAGAGCUAUUCUAGAAUGAUUAGGAUAUCCUUAGAGACCUCCCUUCAUAUGCAAUGUGUGGUCCUUGAUAGAACAAAACAGAUGUAAAAGACCUUUUGUGGAAAAAUGGAGAAAACCAAAUACAGAAUGGGCAUAGGUGGUAUUUAGGAAUUGUCAAUAUGUGGUAUUAUAGUAACUUAGGAAAAUGUCUCUAGCUUUUAGUACUAAAAUACAAAGACUAUAAUGACAAAAUGUAAUGAUCCAACAUGCAUUUACUUAGAAACACUUAGGAAAAAAAGAUGAAGCAAAUGUGGCAAAAUGGUAAGUUGGUAAAUUCUGGUGAUGGGUUAAGAGAUGUUCAUUACUAUAUUCUUUACCUUUUGGUAUGCUUAAAGUUUCAUGAUAAAGAGUAAAAAACAAAACAGAAUUUGACCAAGCACAUAAACCUUGUUAUGUGUGAGACAAAAGAAUAAAUGAAAUUAAGUUUCUACCUUGAGGGAGUUCAGAGGUCACACUCUGGUGGUGGAGCUGUAUAGGUAAACUAAUGGUUAAACAGAUAAACACCAUGUCUAUGGCCUUGUGAGAAACACAGCCAAGGCAGAAAGUGACUGGGGAACAGGGGAGGCAAAGGCAUCAUAGAGGAAGUGAUGGAAAAGCAGAAAUUUACCAGGUGGCAGUCCAGGAAAGGGCUCAGCAAAGUUGUGUGUGACAGGAUGUAGAGAAGGGUUGAGUAUGUGCAUGUACAUGCAUGCGGGGCAGGGAGAUAAAUGACUGCACGAGCAGGCUAGGGUGAGACCACAGGACCUUUUGUGCCAUGAGGAAGAACUCUGGAAUAUGAGCGUAGCUGGGAUGCUGAAAUUUUUUAAACUAACUAAUACGAUCAGAUUUAGUAGAUCCAUGAUUCUCAAACAUUAGCAUGAAUCAGAAUCAUCUAGUUGACUUCCUAACAAAAGAGUCCCACAUCUCCAGAGUUUGAUUCAAUAGGUUUAGGAUGGGACCUGAGAAUCUGCAUUUCUAACAAGUUCCCAAGCUGAUGCUAAUGCUGCUUGUAUAGGACUAUUUGAGAAUCACUGUAGUGGAGGGUAACUCCAGUAGUGAAAGGGCAGCUGAACUGAAAGCAGACACUGGAACAGACCAGACAUGAAGCAGUUAGAACAGACCUGGAAAGAGAGGGUCUCUGGGAUGGCUGCUUGGCUUGCUGGUCCUUCUCUGGGAGGGCACCCAGAGGCCAAUGUCUGCUGAGCCCUUACAUCCUUAGCAACAGCUCUGACUAUUCAAGGGACAGAUGCUGUCCAAAGUGACCAUAUGUGUUUUUUUCUUCUGAGGAUUUCAACCUUACAUAUUAGAAACGUAGAAAAUGGAGGUGGGCUGGCGUUAAGUCACCCUAACGGUCUCUUCCUCCAGAAAAAGGCUCCAAAUUCCCGUCACUGAGUGAGGUCUUCAGAGCCCUCCUGAUGCCUGACGAAGUCUUACUUGGUACAUCCUUCAAAUCUGUAAGCUACCAACUAUCCCAGUAUCUUUACAAAUAGUACUAUUAAAGUAAGUCAGUUUGUCAGUUCUUGACGAAGAGUUUAAGGGACAAUGAAAACACUCAUUUAGAAAAAAUACUGGUAAAUAAUGAGGCAAAGCUGUAUGUACGUACACACACACACACACACACACACACACACACACAAUGUCCAUAGCAAAAGAAGGUUAAAAAAAAAAAAAAAGA